ensembl:lncRNA
GGACCAGCCGGAGCUGGCUGGAGAAGCAAAAGGAGUCGAAAUUCUGAAUAGAAAGGUGUUUCUUUUAUUAUAAAGUGUAGCGGAGAAAAGGACCCCGAAAUAACCACCAGUGAUAGAAAUUAAUAUCAGUUGAGCUCUCUCACACUUCACUCUAGCCUCAGUUCUAGCGGAGUAGGCUAAACAGGUAUUAUUGCUAUUUUACAGAUGAGGAAGUUGAGAUUUGGCCACUAAAAAGCUGUAGAGGCAGAGUUUCAGCAGAUUCAUUGGAGAAACACUGGAAUGAGCCGGCGUUAGUGGAGCGGAGGGGAGAGAAGAAAGUUGAGAUGGUGAGCUGGGGUGUUUUUACGGGCUGACGGUGAAACCUCGGAGGACCUGAAAAAUUGACAAGAAUUGAUAGUAUUAGCAAUUUGUAAUGGCGUUAUACCUACCGCUGGCUGAAACAAAAUUUGUUGUUUAUUUCUUACAGUCUCUCCAGUUAUUUUAAGGCGAUAAGCUUAUUUUUUAUAGGCGUAGAGGAACUUUAGUGUGUUCGUGCUGCCAGUCACUCGGCUCUUUGGGAGAGGCGGAAUCAAGUAGUAAAGUUCUUCCUUCACUUACCAUAGGGUUAUGUCCGGAUAAAGCCAUGUAAGUGGAAAAUACAUUACUACACCUAACCUGGGAACAUCAUGGCUUAGCCCAACCUACCUUAAACUUGCUCAGAACACUUACAUUAGCCAACAAUUGGGCAAAGUCAUCUAGCACAAAGCCUAUUUUUAUUAUAAAGUGUUGACCAUCUUGUGUAAUUUACUGAAUAUUGUACUGAAAGUGAAGAGCAGAAUAGUCGUAUGGGUACAGAAUGGUUGUAAGUGUACCGGUUGUUCACCAGGUGGCUAACUGGGAGCUGUGGUUGCUACCACUGUACAGCAUGAAGAGAGAGUAUCGUACUGCAUAUACAUAGCCCCGGGAAAAGAUCAAAAUUCAGAAUUCGAAGUACGUUUUCUACUGAAUGCAUAUCGCUUUCAAGCCAUUGAAAAGUUGAAAGGGGAACUGUUAUACGUGCAGGACCCUCUGUAGUUGAAAGCAGGAACUAACUUCAAACUACCCAGGCUCAAAUUCUGACUCUGCCCUUUACCUGUUCUGUGACCUUGGCCAAUGUAGCCUAUGUGCUUCACUUUACUCAUCUGCAAAAUAGCAAUGAUAAAUCUAUUCUGAGAGAUAAAAAUGAGUUAGUACAUGUAAAAUGCUUAGAACAAUGCCUGGCUUGGAGUCAGGCACUAGUUCAGUGUUCACAUAUUAUUUUGUUUCAUUUGCUUCAGAGUGAUAGGCAAUGUAACUCCCAUGCAGGCGGCAUCUCGCUUCAAUUUCACAUGCUAAAUACUAUCAAUAUUUGAGAAUGUGGAGACUAUUUUAAUUGGGCUAGUUGCAGGAAAAGGUCACUUUGUAGAGGUGCCAUUUGAGUUAAGUAAAUCCUUCAUGAUGAGAAGGAUCAGCCAGAAUAUCAUCUGCAGGAGAGGAAAAGUCUUUCAUGCAGAAGGAGCCACGUGAGCCAAGACUGAGGUUGGAUGAGCCUGACAUGGUCCGGAGACAGGAAUCGUGAAGAAGGAGGGAAGCGGACAGACCCUAUAUCCACAUGCUCAAGACAGCCGAUUGAUUUUCAAAAGGACGAGGGGAUUACAAGGGAUACACUGUCUCAUUUGAAGCUUUGACCUUCAAGGUUUCAAAGGAAGGAGCCGAGAUGCACAUAAGUAGAAGAUGCUUUUUCCUCGGUUUAUGCCGUCUCAAGUUCUGGAGCCGAGCUGCUGCUCUGGGCUGGGGUGUGGAGGACCGCGGAUGCAGUUACAGCCGGGUAACCGGGCUGGAAACACCAGAGAUGGACGUUUUCUGCGACGCAGUGCCACUGGUGUCCAGAGGUUUAAAUCACCCCUGACUCUUCUAGACAGGAGACUAUAGAGAACUCAGGGCACAGCUGUGGAUGCAGGACUGAUGCCAUCUGGUGCGAUUCCACAGAAUAGAGAGAAAAUUUACCCAGGGUGUGCCAUGCACUGGCUUUUCUGGGAAUGACAAGGUGCCAGGAUUUGUUUUUGGUUCACUUGCAGGGGUGGAAACUUGGAACUAGGUUCCAAGACGGUUGUUACAGUUCCCCUCAAGAAGAUGGAGGAAACCCAAAGGGAAAACAGAGCAUGCCAGUUUGAGUCCACUUCCGUUUAAAGAGCUUUCGGCAGCCCAGCAACUUUUGCUUACAUCUCAUUGGCCAGACUGUGUCAUUGGCUCCUGCUAUGUCUUAAGACUGGCUGAGAAAGGUAGUUUUUGUAGCUGGACAUAUAACUGCCUUCAACAAAAAUCUGAAUUCUCUUGAUAAGGAAGAAGAUAAUGGUGGAUCUUGGGUGAACAACUUGUAGUCUGUGCCCUGGAUACAAAAUACAGUAGUAAAGAAGCAUAAUGCUUGAAACAUAUCAAAACUGUAGCUCCUUCACAACUGGCAACUCCAAGCAACACUGCUGUGCUCCGAGAGAGUGAGUAGAGUGAAGACGUGUUAGGUUUUCUCAUGAAACACUUACCAGGACUGCCCUUCUCUCUCAGCCCUUGCCCCUAUCAGGCUUUUCUAGAGGAAGAUGCUGGGAAGCUGCACGCUGUCUUGGAGGACAUCAUCUCUUCAUGGAGGUUUGAAAUGGGAUAAGGAACGUUCUACCUUGCUACUUCCACAUCUGCUUCAUUUAUCUCUUCUCUGAUUUUCCUGACAAAUUUUUGGUGGAAUCUAGUUGUGUAUUUGAUCCCCAUAAAAGGAUCAUUUCUUUCAUGCACAGAGGAGGGUAAUCUAUGUGAAGAAAGGCUCCUUUACUCCCUUCUGUGACUCCACCACCAAUCUAGGAAUAUCCUGGAAGAACUGCUUCUCAGAGCUGUUUCCAUAAACAGCCUACAUCCUGGCUAAGCAAAGGGAGAAGAAACACUUCCCACAUCCAGGGCUGUCCAAAAGAACUUUCUGUGAUGACAGAAAUGUUCUAUAUUUGAACUGUCUUAUAUGGUAGCCACUAGCCACAUGUGGUUGGCAAACACUUGAAAUGUGGCUACUGUGAUUGAGGAGGUAAAUUUUAAUUUUACUUACUUUUAAAUAAUUUAAAUGUAAAUAGCCACAUGUGGCCAGUGUCUAUUGUGCUGUAGAGCAUAGUACAUACCUUUCUCUUUCCUGUGUUUUAGAACUUGCUGGGUGUGUGUAUGGGGAAGGGGGUGGUUAGAGUCACCACGUAAGUCACAUGCUUGGUGUUCCAUGGUCUUCACUGUUCCACCUUGCCAUUGAACUUGUCUCUCAGAGGAAAAGGAAACAUGGUAUUUUGGAACUAAAUUCAAGAUGUUAACUUGACAUUUACACAUUGAACAUAUGUAUAAGUGGAAUGGUCUCCUGGGAACAGAUCCUGUGAUUGAUUUUAGUAAUAAAUGAUGAUGGGAAAGGGGUAGUGCUGGUCAUUUAACAUUCCUAGUGAACAUUAUGUGUUCCUAGUCAAAGUCAGCAGAGAUUAUUUUAUUCUGUUGUGUAAUUCAUUCUGUGUUACUUUAUUUUUUUAAUAUUGUGGCUGCUAAAUGAUACUUCAUGUCUGUUUUUCAAAAUACUUUGUGGUUUAUACUUUUAAAAGGCUGUGAAAUAAAAAAAUAAUUAUAUGUAACUCAG